UACGUAGGGUGCGAGCGUUAAUCGGAAUUACUGGGCGUAAAGCGUGCGCAGGCGGUGAUGUAAGACCGAUGUGAAAUCCCCGGGCUUAACCUGGGAACUGCGUUUGAAACUACAGGGCUAGAGUGUGGCAGAGGGGGGUGGAAUUCCACGUGUAGCAGUGAAAUGCGUAGAGAUGUGGAGGAACACCGAUGGCGAAGGCAGCCCCCUGGGUUAACACUGACGCUCAGGCACGAAAGCGUGGGGAGCAAACAGG
rnacentral:rRNA from 1 species